rnacentral:lncRNA from 1 species
AUGGAGAUGUGGGGCUGUAGGGUGGGAAACCCGGAGAUGUGGGGCAGAAUGCAUGGGCUGCAGGAUGUGGAACCUGGAGAUGUGGGGCUGCAGAGUGAGAAAUCCAGAGAUGUAGGGUUGCAAGGUAUGGACCUCAGAGAUGUGGGGCUGCAGGAUGGGAAACCUGAAGAUGUGGGGCUACGGGGUGUGGAAAGUGAAGAUGUGGGGCUGAUAAGAUGUGGAACUCAGAGACGUGGGCCUGCAGAACAAAUGGGCUGCAGGGUGUGGAACUCCAAGAUGUGGGGUUGUAGGAUAUGGAACUCAGAGAUGUGGGGCUGCAGGACAAACGAGCUACAAGAUGUGGAACCCGGAGAUGUGGGGCUGCAGGGUCUGGAACCUGAAAGCGUGGGGCUGCAGGGUGUAAAACCCAGAGAUGUGGGGCUGCAGAACAAACGGGCUGCAGGAUGCGGAGCCCGGAGAUGUGGUGCUGCAGGAUGUGGGUCCCGGAGACGCGGCGCAGCAGAACAAUUGGGCUGCGCGGUUGCGCGCUCGCUCUGUGCCCCCAUGGAGCAACGAGGGGCGCCCAGCCGUCGCCCCCCAGCCCCCGUCGCCCCCUCCCCACGCCCCACCGCCCUCAGUCGUCUCCGCGUCCCCAAACUGCAUGCUGGCGCGGAUCUCCCUGCGCUCCCCGACCGCCCCCAGCUCGGGCAGCUCCAGGCUGACGGUGCCGCAUUUCCUCACCCCCGGCUCGGUGAUGAACAGCACAUCAUCCCGGGCGCAGCUGUAGAUAUUGAUGACGGUUCUGCGCUGCCCGGAGCGCGCGGGGCAAUAACUGCGCUGCACCACCUCCCCCAGCGCCACCGACUGCUCCGCGCAGACGAACUUCUCGAAGACGUCGCUGCACCAACGCCGGCCGUCCUUCAGCAGCAGCUUCUCCCUCGGGUGUUUCCCUUCUAUGAACUUGUUGAGCACCCCGACGCCGUAGGUGAGGGGGGAGCGGCGGACGCGCAGCGCGGUGGGGUCGAGGCCGAAGAGGACGGCGCCCUUUAG